AAAGCGCCUGGGCAGCAUCAGGAAACGCUGCAGUCACCAAGCCCGAGCAACACCGAAUGAUCGCACGUCUGAGGCCAGAGAUCAGCAGAUUUCUGGAAGGUCUGUCUGGCUUUGCACAUUAUUGUCCCCGGUCUGCUCCAGGUCAGGGGCCGAAGAGGGAGGGGGAGGAGAUCUUUUUGCAAGUUCUGCAAAAAAAAAAAAAAGCAGAGCUUUUCCUUUAAGACCCAUUGCAUCUAAGAGAGAAACUCCAAGUGCUUGCUCUGAUCUGAAAAUCUGUGCCUCAUUGGGGCAUCAUUAACUGUGCAAGCAUGGGUCGUUGUGUCGAGAUUAUCCUCCCUCCCCAGGCCAAAAAUAAGUGAUUUGGACACUCGGCAGCUCUGAAACCCACCAGCGUAAGGAGAGUUUUCUUGGAAGCUGCUCUGCCGCUGGAGGGACUGAGAUAGCGGUGCGCAUUUUUGGUCUUUGAUCAAGGGAGGUGCCGAGAUGCAGGCUUCCCUCCUCUCCUCCCCAUGAAUGCUGGGGUCCAAACCCCCCAGGAAAAAGCUUCUUAGGUUCCCACAUGCAGGAGCUGAUGCAGACGCUCCGAUGUCGCAAGGGGAUGGGGUAGAGCUGGCAGUGCCAAUCUGGGACCGUUUAGCAAAGGGGGCUCAAGGCAAAGCAUCCUCCAGAGCAAGCUGUUUUUCUCCGGGAAACAUCGGAGGCGUUUAUAUUGCUCCGCAGCUCCUGAGCUCAGCUUUCCAGGGGGACCCAACAGUUUAGAAACAUUUCAGUUAUUGCCCCAUAAACCCAUUAGUAUUUCCAGACAGUUUGCAUCCGAGCAUGCUACUGAUUCCUUGGGAAUACCUUUGUAGGAAAUGCUCCAAGUCACAGGGAGGCACUGGGGGGCUAAAGGGAACGAGUACAGUGCCGGGAGUCCCAGUCCUGACCGUGGCCAAGCUGCAUGAUGAGAACUUCAGUGCUCUCAGGGCUUAAUUUCUGCUCAGUGCCCAGCAACUUUUGCCCACGGGACUUGGGGGGAGAGGGAGGGAAGUCCGGGAAGGGCGUCAUGCUAGCAGCCUAGGCACACACCGAGGACAUGCACACGGGACUGCCCGUGCCCUAUGCCAACCCCGAGACUGGAAGAGGAUGGAAAGGCACGGUCCACCUCUCUCAGGUCUCUUGUGGCUUCUUUGCUCACAAGUGCACAGCUCAGUGCAGGGGGCCAGAAGCGAUGGCUGCGGGUGCAGAGGCACGCCUUGCACAUGGUGUGAGCCGAAGACGCUAGUACCAGCCCAGGUGCCUGGUCCAGAGGAUGACAGGCCAAUGGAGCACAUGCAGGAUGACCAAGAGGAUGCAACUUCACAGGACCCAGCAAAGCAAGAGAGUCUGCAAGUCGUGCCUGGUCUGCGCCAGCUCUGGCUAAGCCGCGGGUUCAAUGCAUUUCCAGAGCUGCAGCCAGCGCAAAGGGACAGCGGGACAGGUAUGAUUUUAAGCGUAGGCAAACCUGUGGUGCAGGGGAUGCGGGAUGUGUGUGCAAGUGGAGAGGCGCUGCAUUCGUGCUGUGCAUUGCUGGCUACCCGACACUACAGGUAGAUAAAAAUAUUCCAAAGUUUUGAAGGGCCAACACCCCUGUGACCUUUGGGGGAGCUUCAGCCUGAGUCCCUUGGGCUUCCUCUUCUGAAAGGCUUCACAGGAAUGUUGUAAUUCAAGCACUGGCCUCUCCCCCCAAGGAGCCUGGCUCCGGUCAGGGGGAGGGGAGAGGAGUUUGGGAUGAAGUAAGCGGCUAUGCACGUGAGUUUGGAGGCCCUUUAAAGGAAGCUGCUUUUAGGUCAGGAGUCAUCUGGAGCCCUAUUACCCAGGAGCAGAUAUAAACAGAGUCUGCAACAGGCAGGACCACAGCCAGGCUUGCAAACCUCCUUUGGGACGUCCCUCCAGCCACGGGCAUGGAGAUGAGCAACACUCACGCUGUGCUCGCUGCAUGUUCCACAAGAGAGGACCGGACCUCUGCUCCAGUUCAACCCGCGGGCCUCAACCAUCAGCCCCUCUCUUCUCAGGUAUUUACACCUUUAAAAGCAACUAAGCACAAAAUAGCAUUCAAGCCGUCUCAGCAGCCCCUGGGGAGCUAGCUCAGAUGUGCUCUGGCAUUAACAGCAUCAUGGGACAGGUAAGGCAGUCACCCAUGAUUUAUCGCACUAUCUCCCCAUCUCAUCAGGUAGCUAAAUGGGCAGUCAUCCUAAUCCACUCUAAGGCGCUUAGGCUUUUCCUUGGUGCAAUGUGAUGCAUGCUAAACCUCCACGCUCCCUUCCUGGGUGAGAAGCAGUCGCUCGGUUUGCUGCAUGGAAGGACCCGAGCGUUUUCAGCUCGAGUCCCACUGAAGCCGAGUUGCACGUGAAGCUCCCUGCCAUCCCCAACACAUAUGCCUAUGUCCUUGCAAGGUUUGCAUAUGGUUCUCUGUAAGGAAACUAUGAGAGACAGGGCCCUAAUCACCUCUAACCUGCUCAUUCAUGCCUCAAGCGCCCAGAGGGAUCGGGCACACUGCUGGAGGAAAGGGGCAUCAGUAGGUAUCGAGCAGAGGAGUGAAGGGCACAGUCUCUGAAUCAGAAGUGCCUGGACUCUAAAUGCUGGGCAAGUGGGAGAGGAACAGUGGGGAAAAACCUCCGUCAUGCCCAGUUCCCUCUGCCCUUCAGCAUCCGCCCCCUGCCCGCAUGACACAGGGUGCUCAGCCAGUACAUGGCAGUUUUUCUGUUCUGAUGACCAUCCUCGGUCCCGCUUGUUCAGCACCAAGGCCUGUUUGUCCCAAAGCUCCCGGGAGCUGCGGUGCACAGCAGCAGCGGGGUUUUAGCAGAAUCCACCUGUUUUUUCCAACUGAGGCACCCUCCUGAUACCACAACACGCACAGUCAUUUCAGCAGAGCUACAGGUUGCACAUGCAGGGAGCUAAACCCCAGCAGCAUGCUCAGGAUGCAUCUCCCAGACAUUCCCCAGGGUCACGGCGUCCAGGGGUGACCUGGUGAGAGUGACAGGCCAGUGGCCUUAUAACCCUGCUGUUGUCCAGCCCUGCUUGGAGCAGCUGGCGGGGAGGGCAGUGAAUGCAGCAUCUGGGACAGGAGGGAGGUGAAAGCAGCAUCAGGGCUUCCAAGACAGCCCUGCUCGGAAGCCAGAGACUGGGGCCCGAGAUGCUUCUGCUGCCUUAACAUGGCUAUUUUAUUUUCACGCUGAACAAGGCCUCAGCCACCAUCUUCCUGGAAGCUCAUCACUGUCUGGAGGUGUCCGGUCAUUCCCCCCCACCACGUACACCUGACUCCCCUCCAGCUCGGCGUCUCCACAGACAGGGCUGAUCCUGCCUUGAGCAGAGGACCGGACUAGACGUGACCUUGUGAGGCCCCUUCCAGCCCUGCUGUGUUAGGACUCUGCUCUUUGACGGCAGGCUUGCAGCGCGAUGGGGAGAUGCGAGUGCUGAGCCGGCCUCCACGUCGCUAGCUCCAGGACAGCAGCAUGGUACCCAUGGCAGGGUCCUGCAUGGGCAAACCCAGCCCUGCUGAAGCAGCCACAGCUACCCCAUUAUCAGUGCGGCACAGCUACAAGGGUGCACUUGGCCACGCUGCACGCACACCUGCAAUGGCAAUGGGGACACACGCAACAGUGAAUGCACAAAUCCUGCCUAUUCACUCCGCAAUGGAUCCUGCUUCCUUUAUUUAGAGAGAGAUCCCGGCACAAUCCCUGAGGUCACUGCCCUGGCAGCUCCAGAGCUGCCGUCUUCUCCAGACGGGUCCUUUCGCGUGCGGCCUACUUCAGCAUCACUGAAAUGGUGGCUGCGAGUCAGCUGUGCUGCAGAGGUGGACCGUGCCUGUUAAACACCGUGCCAGAUGAAGGGCAGACUGCAUUGCACAUUCAGUUUCUUUCAUAUCACAGCAAAAACUAUUCAAUUAUUCAUGUGAGCAGGGUCUGGUGGGGAAGAAGGGAGAGCUCUGCAGGUGUCCAGCACAACCAGAGCUCCUGGAUAAUAUUUCUGCUUCAGUCCACAAAUCCAGAAAUUCAGAAGUGAGGUUUAACUCCUCUGAAUGUCACUGCAGGGGGAAGAGCUGUACAAUGCCGAGGAUGACACUCUGCAGGUUAGAGCCCUGGCCUUACCGUGCACGAAUACAUGGACACAAUAUUCAUUUAAGACCGUUAAAUCCCGUAUCCCUUUAGAGGUAAAAUGGGCCAUUCAUCUGAAUCCACUGCAAGUCUCUGUAGGGCUUGUUUUCAUUCACUUGAAAGAUGGAGUUUCUUGAUUAGUCAUGAAGUCUAAAUUGGAUUUCUAUCCCUAUUGAGAUGAUAUAACUGUCCAUAAAUUUGCUGGGGAGGGGGGAGGAAGGGGAAGGAUAGUGUAGCUGAACACAAGUCGUAACAGAAAGCC